rnacentral:rRNA from 1 species
ACCCAAAUUUUUAUCCAGGUUGACCUCGGAUCAGGUAGGGAUACCCGCUGAACUUAAGCAUAUCAAUAAGCGGAGGAAA